rnacentral:rRNA from 1 species
GUGAAAGGACUUUGGCAAGCGCGCGUCCCGCUGAAGAUCAAAGUUUUUCUUUGGCAACUGUUUCGAGACCGGCUUCCCACGUCCAUCAACAUAGCAAAACGGAAUGGCCCGGCAACGGGCCCGUGCGCGCUUUGUGGGAGCCCCGAGAACGCAAACCACGUCUUUUUCCUUUGCCCUCUAGCGCGGUUUGCUUGGAGUGCAGUGCGCGAGGCCGCUGGGGUGGCAUGGGACACGCGAUCCUCCUCCAACCUCGUGGACCUCCUUCAUUCGGUUCUGGGUCAGAACAAGCGUGUACUCUGGGCUAGUAUCGGGGCGAUGUUAUGGUCUUUAUGGCUCACUCGCAACAAAUUUACCAUUGAAGGAUCGUUCCCGUCGCACCCGACUAAUAUUAUAUGCAAAUGCUCUAUCCUCUUGCAGCAAUGGAGUCCGUUGGCGAAGCAGAAGGAUGCUGAACUCAUGAAGCUUGCUCAAGCCCGCGUGCACUAG